GACGAACGCUGGCGGCGUGCCUAAUACAUGCAAGUAGGACGCAGUUGCGAACGGGUGAGUAACGCGUCGGUAACUGCCUAUUAGAGGGGGAUAACUAUUGGAACCGAUAGCUAAUACCGCAUACUAGUAGCUGGACCUUCGUUGUAUUAGCUAGUAGGUAGGGUAAUGGCCUACCUAGGCAACGAUACAUAGCCGACCGGAGAGGGUGAUCGGCCACACCGGGACUGGGACAAGGCCCAGAAUCCGACGGGAGGCAGCAGUAGGGAAGCUUCGGCAAUGGGGGGAAACCUGACCGAGCAACGCCGCGGGAGUGAAGAAGGGUUUCGGAGCGUAAAGCUCUGUUGUUAAGGAAGCGGUACUUAACCAGAAAGGGACGGCUAACUACGUGCCAGCAGCCGCGGUAAUUC
rnacentral:rRNA from 1 species